rnacentral:ncRNA from 1 species
GAUCGGGAGUACGAGGGCGAUACAAUACCCGUAAGGGGAAAACCCUCUGCCGACCUGAGUGCGGUGUUGAAGCUCCCGAUCUUUUUUAU